CAUGAUCAUGAAGAUGAAGAUGCCGGAGCAGACGAUGAUGGACCAUCGAUGUGCUGGGUGCAAGACCCUCAUAUUCAAGAGCUGCUUCUCAAGCAGACGGGUAACACAAGAGCUGCCGCCCGAGAGAAACCCAAGCUGGAUCAACUGGAGAUAGACGCGGUUACUCCAUUGUAUGAAGGAUGCAGGCCCGAGGAUACCCGCCUGAAAGUAACACUCAUGGCUCUGGAGAUGAAGGUAAAACACAAAAUGACCGACGCAUGCUUCGACGAGAACAUGUCAUUCUGGCACGAACAUCUUCCCAAGGGGAACAAGUGCCCGACCAGUUUCGAGGAGGCGAAGAAAAUCGUGUGUCCUCUGGAUUUACCGCACGUGAAAUACCAUGUGUGCGUGAACGAUUGCAUCAUUUAU
rnacentral:rRNA from 1 species